CAUCUUAAGAGGUGUCUUCUUAAGGAGAGUCCAAGAUUGAAAUGCAUCCUAUGCGGGCCAGUCGACACAGAUAAACUCCAGUGAGGAAAAGGAAGGCCUCCCCCAGGUCACCCCCGUAACAGAUGAUCCCCAACUCAGAGUGACCUCUGCGGAGCCUCUGACGGGAUUAGGAGGUUCAGCUUGAUUUUGGAUCCACGGACAGGCCGGGGACUGUGAGGGCUCAGUGAUGCGUCCCGGGGAGGAGGGGUGGCCUCCGUCCCCUUUGUUCCAGCCCUCCAGUUGCCCGUGAGUGUACAGCGUGGCCUGCGUCAAGGAAACACGUCAAGGAAACACGUUUGUAGUUCAAGGCGGAAGGGACGACUCACUGGGGAGCUGCAGAUCGAGUGCUGGGUUGAAAGGCCCUAAUAAUCCCUUGGUCUUGCAAGAAGAGAGCUGCACCUUUCCCGAGGAAUCGGCUCCAGCACGCUAAAAGCAGGCCUGUUUGCAGUGCUCCCCUGCUCCCUCGUUGUGUGAGUCCGGAGUAACUGAAUGUGGGCACUCGUUCUCCCCUCCUGUCCUCUCUCUGCCCCCUUCCUUACCUUCUUGUCCCUUUCACGAAGCAGCAGGGACGCCAUGGGAUCAGGGGUGUCUGUCUGUGCUUUGCAAAAUGUUCUUACACCCAUGAUUUAGUAAGCGUCUUAGAGUGACUACAGGAAGUCAGGAGAUCAGGAAGCCCUCUCGACUUUUUAGAGAUGACAAAAGUGAGGGUCUGAAGGGUGAGCCAUUUGUCCGGGGCCUCUCGACAUGAAACGGUCAUGAUAAGGCCUGAGCUCAGGGCUCCUGAGGCCAAGUAUCUACCUGUGUCCUAUCAGCCCUCCCCUCAUGGGCCA